UCAACCGGAAGCGGUAAAAAAAAAAAAAAAAAUCUGGUCAAAAUAAAAGUCCAGGGACAAAAAAAAAAUUAUAAUAAUAAUACUCUGCUGAAGAAAAUCUAUCCGCCAAAAGACAAGCCGGGCUGAACAAAUUGGUAGAGAAUAUUAAAAUGGAUGGUGAGACACAAACAUGUUCUUCUGUUCGAGGUUCAUCUGUCCAAGAUCCUAAAACACAGCCUGUUUGAACUGCCUGAAACUGCUUCUCAUCGAGGACGAGUCUGCGAGUGUUGUCUAAUUUCCACGAUAAUUUGGCGUCUCCUGGGUGGGCUGCGCGAGUCUUUUCAGCUUUUCUGGACAACAAGUAAACCGGAGGACGCUCGUGGAAAAGUUUCACCCUGAGACCGUGUUGACACGCAGGUUGUUUGCUCUUUAUUGUGCAGCGUGAAAGACCAAUGCAGCCUUACCACUGACUGGUAGGAAUCAUCAAGAAUUUAGAAUUAGAAUUUUAUAAAGUCAUUGUGUAUUGGUGUCUGUAUGGAAGGGAGUCAAUGAUGAAUGUUAUGUUAGAAGUGGCUGGAGAAGGAGGCCCUAUGCAAGUUCACAGACUCUGGGCAUUGGAAGACAUCAGGAGCAGCAUGGCGCAUCUGCCGGCGCUCCACAAAGUAGAAGGACGAAAGUUUGGGGAUGAACUUCAAAUAUUCUGCAGAGAAUUCAGACCCACCACUCCUGAACUACGAUGACUGCCCAUGGCAAAACUUGGCACGGACUGGGUCAAGGUUUCAAGUGAAUUCCCAGAGGAUGUUGUCCGCCUGAUCAACCCACAGUGGGAUGAUGAAGUCAACACAAGGUACAGAGCACAAAUCACGGUGCUCCAGCAGAGGCUGACGAACACCUUUCCUGUGCGAAUGGACAUGACAAAAAUAGCGAUGUGUAAACAACAAGACUCAGAGACUGUAUCACAGCACCUGUCCAGGCUCACUGAGAUCCAUGACGCAAACUCAGGCUUGGAGAAACCCGACGCUCUGGCAGAUGGGCAGGCGGCCAUCACAGCAUGGGAGGCACAUCUCAGAAACAGCUUUAUGAAUGGCAUGAAACCAGAAAUUGCCGCUAUAAUCAAACAACAAUGUAUCACCUGGGACACCGGAAGCCUCACCCAAGUGGAAAGGUAUGCAAUCCACACGCAGAAGCUCCUACGAGAGGCAAAGGAAAGAAACAUGGAGAGGAGAGGAAGACCAAAAGCACACAGACGAGGAAGACCCAGCCGCCAGGCUAUGGUCCAAAAUUAAACUGUUAUAACUGUGGAAAAGUUGGACAUUUUGCAAGAGACUCUCCAGAGCAGAAGUGAACUGACGGGUGGAACUAAGGGAAGGGUGAGGCACCUGGGAACAGAAGAGGUGACAUCAGACACCCAAACUAUCAGUUAGCUCACAAAGAACAGGAAUAUAUGCACACAUCCACAUCCAACAUUAGUCAGACUGACAAUUCACAAAUGUCUGAACCAGUCAUGACCCUUAACCUUUUAAAGUAUAAUGCCUCUCCUUUUACACACUUACCAUGUAUAUCUCUUGUAGUUAAUGGGCAAAGUGUCACAUUUUUGGUAGAUUUAGGAGCAACGUAUUCAGUAAUAAAACACUCCGAAUUAAAAGAAUCCCCGAAAAUGAGUUCACAGCCACUGCACUCCAUGGGGGGUAACUCAUGACAUUUCUGCAAAGGGAAAGAAACUCUCAGCUGACAAAGUAUCUGCAAUCCAGAAGAUUCCCAAGACCCUGACAAAGAAACAGGUCCUAUUUAUCCUAGGUAUGUGUUAGUAUCGCAGAACUUUCAUUCUAAACUAUUCUAUUCUAGAAGCACCAUUCAGAGAGAUGGCAUAUGUGACAGGUUGGACAGCUCAUUCUCAGGUAAGUUGGAUCCAGUUGCUGCAGAGUUUCCCCCGUGGGUAUGUGCAUUAGCAGCAGCUGAGAAAGCUGUGAUGGCAUCCAGAGACCUGGUAGGUUACACAGAACUGAACCUCUUGGUUCCACAUGAGGUGUUGUUACGCCUACUUGAACAGAAAACCUCACACCUGUCCACCCAACGGUGGCUGCACCAUAACACUAUACUACUAGACAUGCCAAAUGUCACUAUUAAACAAUGUACUGUCCUUAACCCUGCUACUCUCCUUCCAACAGAGGGAGACGGGGAACCACAUGACUGUGUUGUACUGACUAACGAACUCUGCUCCCCUAGAGUCGACCUGAAGGAUGUUCCAUUGGAAAACCCAGAUCUAAUCCUUUUUGUGGAUGGGUCUGCGUCACGUGAUCCAGAGACAGCUUUCAGACCUCCAAGCACAAGCUACAGACGAGGAAAAGGCUGUGUGGCGCAAAGCAGACUGCACGGUUGUUGACGGAGUUUGGCGAUGCCCCCAGGACUGUCCUUGUCUUCAAAGUUGACGCAUGGCAGGGACCAUGCGUCAAAAGGGGAAAUGAUAGUUGCGAUAAAGCAUUGGUUUCUCUAAUUACUCUAAAUAAAAAUUGUUUACACUGUUUGCGCAACUCAUAACGUGGGUUGAGGUUUGCAUGUAGAGAAGGCCAUGUCCCUACGUCCAAACAGGACUCAGAUGCGGUAGUGAUAAUGAUAAUCUCCAGCGUCAUGCUCUGCGUUUCAUAUAUAUAGUAGUGGUUUAGUACAAGGGCUUCAGAGCGCACUCAUUAUUCUAUCCUGCUUUAUUCUAUCCUGUAUUAACCAUCUUUCUGUAAUAAACCUUUUUUUAACUUCA